UACGUAGGGUGCGAGCGUUGUCCGGAAUUAUUGGGCGUAAAGAGCUCGUAGGCGGUCUGUCGCGUCUGCUGUGAAAACCCGAGGCUCAACCUCGGGCCUGCAGUGGGUACGGGCAGACUAGAGUGCGGUAGGGGAGAAUGGAAUUCCUGGUGUAGCGGUGGAAUGCGCAGAUAUCAGGAGGAACACCGAUGGCGAAGGCAGGUCUCUGGGCUGAUACUGACGCUCAUGCACGAAAGCGUGGGGAGCAAACAGG
rnacentral:rRNA from 1 species